ensembl:snoRNA
GUUCGCAUGAUGAAUUUCUUUGUUCAACUGCUGAGUGAUUCACAAAUGAACUAAACUCUAAUUCUGAACAGAA